AGAAGACUGGGCUCUGAAUUUAAACUAUUUGAUGAAGUGGGAGCUCCUGGCAUGAGGAGGAGUGGCCAUUUGUCAUCAUCAGGAAAAGCUUCCCAGCAGACAGGAAUUUGGAGAGAUGAUGUGAGUUUGACAAUGUUUCUUUCUUCCUUGACAGCUCAUCAGCCUACCCCAUAACGUUUACAAGAGAUUUUUCAGGACAGUGAAAAGCUAUGGCAUAAGAUUUUCUUUAAUGGAUUUCACUGCUGGGGCUUAUUUUCACUUGUAAUAACCCAGGCAUCUCCUGAAACUCUAUUGUUUUCUUGUCGACUUGGAUGUGAAGGCAGUUAACUUUGGUGUCCUUUUCUCCUGAGUAAGUGUGCUGG
rnacentral:lncRNA from 1 species